AGUGAACGCUGGCGGCAGGCCUAACACAUGCAAGUCGAACGGCAGCACAGUAAGAGUUUGCUCUUAAGGGUGGCGAGUGGCGGACGGGUGAGGCAUACAUCGGAAUCUAACUUUUCGUGGGGGAUAACGUAGGGAAACACAUGCUAAUACAGCAUACGAUCUAUGGGUGAAAGCAGGGGCUCUUCGGACCUUGCGCGUUUGAAUGAGACGAUGUCGGAUUAGCUAGUUGGCGAGGUAAAGGCCCACCAAGGCGACGCACCGUAGCUGGUCUGAGAGGCUGAUCAACCACACGGUAACUGAGACACGGUCCAGACUCCUACAGUGGGCAGCAGUGGGGAAUAUUGGACGAUGGGGGCGAGCCUGAUCCAGCCAUACCGCGUGAGUGAAGAAGGCCUUCGGGUUGGAAAGCCCUUUUGUUGGGAAAGAAGUGCAGCAGUUUAAUACCCCGCUAUACUGACGGUACCCAAAGAAUAAGCACCGGCUAACUUCGUG
rnacentral:rRNA from 1 species